ACUUCCUUAGCUAGGAGCUAGCAAUGCUACGUGGAAUUGCAUGUCGAAAAUAUUUAAAAAGUCAACCUGCCAUCUCUCCUGCCCUGCUCGUCCAAGUUCCCACUCUAGUUCCAGUACUGGCAGGCUUCACCACUAUAUCCCAGCAGGGUCCUGCUUGGCAUGUUCUCCCAGGUAUCUUCUGAGAGGUUGUUCUCUCUCCACUUCUCAUUCAAGUCUGAAGAUGCUUACAGUCACCUGCAGUACUUCUAAAUCAGAGUUUUGAGAUGGAAGAGGUCACAGCUCCAAUGAUCUCAGCCGAAGAAGAUGAGGAAGAAGACCAGCACAAGUGGUAAGAAUCAGCUCUCCAAGGAAUGUCUUCCUGCCCGGUGUCCUGGACAACUGCCUGUCUUUAGAAUUAACAAAUGCUCUGACUUGCAGAGUCUCUCUCAAAUCAGCUUUUGCUGGUAUCAGGAUUUCUCUGGAGGACUCAACAAAGUCCUCUCCAUGCCUGAGAUUCCUACAAUGAUUGAAAUUCCAUUGUUUCUUCCCCGUGGAAUAACCAUAAGCUUCCUGAGGGAGUGCACCUCAGAGAGGCCUCGCCUGGGACUUGAAAGUAAGGAGAAAACAGCACAAGAAUUUUCUGGGGAAUAAAGAUGUCCUCUGAAGUUCUAAGCCAAGCAGAGAGAAAACUCACAUUUAUUUUAUAAAAGGUCAACUCUUAGGAUAUGUUCCGAUAUUACUAGCUUUUCUCAACACUAUGACAGAACAUCUGACAGGAACAAUUUAAAGGAAGAAGUUUUUAUAUUAAUUCUUGGUUUGGGGCAGAUGCAACCCAUCAUGGCAGAAGGCAGGGUGGUGGAAGCACAAAGCCACUGGUUACAUUGUGACAGAAAGCAGAGAUCAGAGUAAGAUCUGAGCUGGUCCUCAGCUGGCUUCCUCUCUUUUUAUUCAAUCUGGGAUUCUAGUUUAUGAGAUGUUGCUACUGAGGGUGGGUUCUUUCUCCAAUGGGUAAACAUCUCUAGAAAUGUUCUCACGAAUACACCUAGAAUUGUGUCUCCUAUGUGAUUCCAGAUCCAGUUAAGUUGACAGUUGAAGAUAAAACCAUUAUACUUCUUAGUCUCAUUUAUUCCUUGAACUAGACAAGAAGGAGCCCAGACAAGGUUGCUGUACCAGCAUCUGGAAUAUCCAGAUUGUUCUCCAUUCUGGUUAGGUUUGUUUGCUUUGUUUUCUUGUCAACUUGACAUAAGCGACAGUUUUCUGAGAAGAAACACAACUGAGAAAAUGCCUCCAUCAGACUGCCUAAAAGUCUGUAGGGUGGUUUAUUGUUGUUGUUAGUUGGUCAGUUUUGAUUUUUGUUUUGUUUCUUUUUUCUUUCUUUUUUUUUUUUUCCGUAAAUUAAUGACUGAUUCGGAAGCAUCCAGCCCACUGUACGCUGUGGCAUUUGGACAGGUUCUUGCCUCGAGUUCCUGCUCUGCCUUCAUUUCACUAUACCUAGAAGCUGAAAUAAACUAUUUCCUCCA
rnacentral:lncRNA from 1 species